UGAGGUAGUAGGUUGUAUAGUUUAGAAUUACACCAAGGGAGAUAACUGUACAACCUCCUAGCUUUCCUUGGGUCUUGCACACAACAGCGUGAGGAGCGACUGUAAUUCCUCAGCUCUGGACAUGUGGAACAGCAAAGAGCAGAAACCAGCAGCUCUGGGUUCAGGGUGCAGCAGAGCCUGCAGUGCAGCGUGAAGUGAUGCAGAAGUGUGGAUGGCACCGGGAGCUGCUGCGCCUGCUCCUGCUGCUAUUCCUGGCACGCAGGGACUGAGCAGCGUCUGAUGGGCCAAAUGGAAGAACUGAAGAUAGUCCACAGUGAAUUCCUGGAGGAGAUGGGAAAAGAUCUGUGGACUGCAGGCCCCCAGUCUGUGAUUUACAGUCUCUCCUUUACAGGUGACCCCAGCACUCCUUUCCUAUCAAAAUACAGUUCAUUCUAGUGCUGCUUUUAGUCUCAUGGAUAUCUAACUUUAAUUUAAUUUUCUACUUUUCCUGCCAGCUCAGAUUCCCAAAAUGUCCCCAACCUUUCUGCGUGAAGUUCUGAAUUCUGAAGUUGAAUUUGGGUUCAGCAGUUUAGACUCAAAUUGAACAGCCUCAACAGGUAUUAUUUUCACUGGCUUUUUCAGAAAAAAAAAAAGAAAGAGUUCAUUGAGAGGCAC
rnacentral:lncRNA from 1 species